GGAGUUUGGACCGUGUCUCAGUUCCAAUGUGGCCGAUCACCCUCUCAGGUCGGCUACUGAUCGUCGCCUUGGUGGGCCGUUACCUCACCAACUAGCUAAUCAGACGCGGGUCCCUCCUGUACCGAUAAAUCUUUUCCAACUGUACGAUGCCAUACCGUUGGCUUAUGAGGCAUUAGCAGUCAUUUCUAACUGUUAUUCCUCUGUACAGGGCAGGUUACCCACGCGUUACUCACCCGUCCGCCGCUAAGUUUAUUAAGCAAGCUCAAUAAACUUCGCUCGACUUGCAUGUGUUAAGCACGCCGCCAGCGUUCAUC
rnacentral:rRNA from 1 species